rnacentral:misc_RNA from 1 species
GAUGAAGAACGUAGCGAAAUGCGAUAAGUAAUGUGAAUUGCAGAAUUCAGUGAAUCAUCGAAUCUUUGAACGCACAUUGCGCCCGCCAGUAUUCUGGCGGGCAUGCCUGUCCGAGCGUCAUUUCAACCCUCGAACCCCUCCGGGGGGUCGGCGUUGGGGACCUCGGGAGCCCCUAAGACGGGAUCCCAGCCCCGAAAUACAGUGGCGGUCUCGCCGCAGCCUCUCCUGCGCAGUAGUUUGCACAACUCGCACCGGGAGCGCGGCGCGUCCACGUCCGUAAAACACCCAACUUCUGAAAUGUUGACCUCGGAUCAGGUAGGAAUACCCGCUGAACUUAAGCAUAUCAAUAAGCGGAGGA